rnacentral:rRNA from 1 species
AGAGUUUGAUCAUGGCUCAGGACGAACGCUGGCGGCGUGCUUAACACAUGCAAGUCGAACGGAAAGGCCCUUCGGGGUACUCGAGUGGCGAACGGGUGAGUAACACGUGGGUGAUCUGCCCUGCACUUUGGGAUAAGCCUGGGAAACUGGGUCUAAUACCGAAUAUGACCAUGCACUUCCUGGUGUGUGGUGGAAAGCUUUUGCGGUGUGGGAUGGGCCCGCGGCCUAUCAGCUUGUUGGUGGGGUAAUGGCCUACCAAGGCGACGACGGGUAGCCGGCCUAAGAGGGUGACCGGCCACACUGGGACUGAGAUACGGCCCAGACUCCUACGGGAGGCAGCAGUGGGGAAUAUUGCACAAUGGGCGCAAGCCUGAUGCAGCGACGCCGCGUGAGGGAUGACGGCCUUCGGGUUGUAAACCUCUUUCAGCACAGACGAAGCGCAAGUGACGGUAUGUGCAGAAGAAGGACCGGCCAACUACGUGCCAGCAGCCGCGGUAAUACGUAGGGUCCGAGCGUUGUCCGGAAUUACUGGGCGUAAAGAGCUCGUAGGUGGUUUGUCGCGUUGUUCGUGAAAACUCACAGCUUAACUGUGGGCGUGCGGGCGAUACGGGCAGACUUGAGUACUGCAGGGGAGACUGGAAUUCCUGGUGUAGCGGUGGAAUGCGCAGAUAUCAGGAGGAACACCGGUGGCGAAGGCGGGUCUCUGGGCAGUAACUGACGCUGAGGCGCGAAAGCGUGGGGAGCAAACAGGAUUAGAUACCCUGGUAGUCC